rnacentral:rRNA from 1 species
GGCCAGAUUGGUCGGUCCGCCUAACAGCGAGCACUGAUCACGAUCUGGUCUUCCUUCUGGCAAUCUAGACUGCCUUUAACCGGGUGGACUAGAGCACCAGGACGUUUACUUUGAAAAAAUUAGAGUGUUCAAAGCAGGCUCGCGCUUGAAUACAUUAGCAUGGAAUAAUGAAAUAGGAUCAUGGUUCUAUUUUGUUGGUUUCUAGGACCAAGGUA